CAAGAAACUACAGUAGAUCACACCGAUGAAAGGGUACCAAAGCUUGGCAUGAAAUUUUUAUCUGAAGAGGAAGCUUAUUUAUUUUAUAACAAGUAUGCUAAAACCAUCGGUUUUAGCAUCAGAAGAAGCAGUGGUCAUAAAGUGAUGAACUCUUCUACAUUUCAGCAACGGACAUUUACAUGCUCUCGUCAAGGCCAUCGCCAGGAAGAUAAAAGAGAGGAGACAUUCACUUACAGUAGGCCUGAAACACGAUGUGGUUGUGAUGCCCGUAUGAAGAUUAGCCUUAGAGAUGGAUUUUAUUAUGUGUAUGAAUUCGAGGCGUCACAUAACCACACUCUUGCUAAUGGACUCAUGGCCCAAUACUUGAGAUCCCAGAGAAAAGUGACAGAAGCACAGAUAGCAAACGCAGAGGUUGCAAAGUCAGUUGGCAUUUCAAAUAAAGCAACAAUCGAUUUGAUGGCUAAAGAAGCAGGUGGAAGUGAAAACCUUGGCUUUACACCUCCAGAUAUGAAAAAUUGUUUGUACUCAAAGAGAACAAUAAAAGCAAAGGUAGGUGACACAGGGGGGGUAUUAGAAUACAUGGAGAAAAAGGUCUCAGAAGAUGUCAACUUCUUCUAUUCAAUUCAAGUGGAUGAGGAUGAGUUGAUAACUAAUAUUUUUUGGGCCGACUCCAAAAUGGUUUCAGACUAUGCAAUGUUCGGCGAUGUUAUAUGCUUUGACACCACAUACAGAAAACUAGAUGAUGGACGUCCAUUUGGUUUGAUUGUCGGGGUGAAUAAUCAUAAGAAAACUAUUGUCUUUGGUGCUCCACUUCUAUAUGAUGAAACCGCUGCUAGUUUUGCUUGGCUUUUCAGAACUUUCCUAAAAGUUAUGUCAGGAAAACAUCCACGUACAAUUCUCACCGAUGAAGAUGCGGCAAUGGCGAAGGCAAUUCGUGAAGUCUUUCCUCACUCUCACCAUAGACUUUGUGUGUGGCAUAUGAAUCAAAAUGCUUGCAAGCACCUCGCCGGAGUUGUUGACGAAUAUAAGAAGUUCAAUGUUGAUUUUCAGCACUGUAUAUAUGAUAUAGAAGAGGAGGAUGAAUUUGUAGGUGCAUGGGAUAAAAUGAUUGACAACACUACCCAAAGAAGUGAAAGCAUGAACAAUGAACUGAAAAUAGCUGCUCGUGCCGCUGAGUCCGAAGAAUCAUACUAUAAGGCUGCUAAGUGUGCAGAGCAAUUAGCACAAGAUGUGGAGAAAUGCUUGAAGAUUAGAGCUGAUCCAGAUUUGGUUAGCGCCGAUACACAUUUGGUUCAUGUUGAUCCAGAUUUGGUU
rnacentral:rRNA from 1 species